UACGAACUGUGCGAACGUUAUUCGGAAUCACUGGGCUUACAGGGUGCGUAGGCGGCUCAACAAGUCAGGUGUGAAAGCCCCCCGGCUCAACCGGGGAACUGCGCUUGAAACUGUUAGGCUCGAGUCAGCUAGAGGUACACGGAACUUCCAGUGGAGCGGUGAAAUGUGUUGAUAUUGGAAGGAACACCGGAGGCGAAAGCGGUGUACUGGGGCUGAUCUGACGCUGAGGCACGAAAGCCAGGGGAGCGAACGGG
rnacentral:rRNA from 1 species